rnacentral:rRNA from 1 species
UCCAGACUCCUACGGGAGGCAGCAGUGAGGAAUAUUGGUCAAUGGGCGGAAGCCUGAACCAGCCAAGUCGCGUGAGGGAAUAAGGCCCUACGGGUCGUAAACCUCUUUUGUCAGGGAGCAAAGGGCGCCACGUGUGGCGUUUUGCGAGUACCUGAAGAAAAAGCAUCGGCUAACUCCGUGCCAGCAGCCGCGGUAAUACGGAGGAUGCGAGCGUUAUCCGGAUUUAUUGGGUUUAAAGGGUGCGCAGGCGGAAUGUCAAGUCAGCGGUAAAAUUUCGGGGCUCAACCCCGUCGUGCCGUUGAAACUGGCGUUCUUGAGUGGGCGAGAAGUAUGCGGAAUGCGUGGUGUAGCGGUGAAAUGCAUAGAUAUCACGCAGAACUCCGAUUGCGAAGGCAGCAUACCGGCGCCCAACUGACGCUGAAGCACGAAAGCGUGGGUAUCGAACAGGAUUAGAUACCCUCGUA